rnacentral:rRNA from 1 species
GACGAACGCUGGCGGCGUGCCUAAUACAUGCAAGUCGUGCGCAGGAAGCUGACGGAACUCUUCGGAGGGAAGGCAGUGGAAUGAGCGGCGGACGGGUGAGUAACACGUAAGGAACCUGCCUCAAGGAUUGGGAUAACUCCGAGAAAUCGGAGCUAAUACCGGAUAGUUCAACGGACCGCAUGGUCCGCUGAUGAAAGGCGCUCCGGCGUCACCUUGAGAUGGCCUUGCGGUGCAUUAGCUAGUUGGUGGGGUAACGGCCCACCAAGGCGACGAUGCAUAGCCGACCUGGAGGGGUGAUCGGCCACACGGGGACUGAGACACGGCCCAGACUCCUACGGGAGGCAGCAGUAGGGAAUCUUCCACAAUGGACGAAAGUCUGAUGGAGCGACGCCGCGUGAGUGAUGAAGGUUUUCGGAUCGUAAAACUCUGUUGUAAGGGAAGAACACGUACGAGAGGAAAUGCUCGUACCUUGACGGUACCUUACGAGAAAGCCACGGCUAACUACGUGCCAGCAGCCGCGGUAACAC